UUCAAAGAGCACUGUUCACGGCUGGAGCGGCAGCGGAGUUGCGGGACCCACGGGCGAACAUUCCCCGCUCAGCCCCGGCCCGGCGCGAAAGCUGCGGGGCUGCGGAACAUCGGCUCCGGCUGCGUGGGAGCCGGGGGGGCAGGGGCCGCUCCGAAACAGCUCCAGCUGUGCGGGACGGGACCCAGAGCCAGCCAGCGGUGGCAGCGGCUGUGCGGAGCCGAGCGGGGACGGGAGUGGGGCCGCCUGAAACCAGGGCGAGUGCGGGCCGGGGCCGUGGCAAUGGCAAUGGCAGCAGCUCCGGCCAGGCGGGAGCCGGCGAGGCCGGGGCCGCAUGAACUGCGGACAAACCGCAAAGCCCUGGACAGUCUGCCGCGAACGGGGGGGGGACAGUGCAGCCCCCACCCGGUGCCGAUAAGAGACCCCCCUGCGGGGUGGCUCCUGUGGCCCGCGGAGGAGAAAGCAAACAGCAGAGCCGAGCACGGCGGCUUGUGCUUGUAAGCCAAGCUGUGGGGAGGCCGGGGCUGAGAAAAGCGGCCACACCCUUUGUGCUGAGACAGAGCAGGCUGAACUUGCAAACAGCUUAACUGAGCCUCCUGCAACAACCUCACAGCUACGGCAUCGUGCUGUGAGCUCUCCUGAGAUAUAUACAGAGCUAAGUUAACAUUGUAUUUUGUUGUUUUGUAUCUUGUCUUGAAACCUUUGGUAAGAACAUCGAAACUUUAAGGUUUUGUUUCUAAGUUUCAUUAAUUCCCCAGUGACUCUGCUUAAAUUGUUAAGCUUGUUAAGGUUGUUAAAGUUGUUAAGCUCUAAAGUGCACCUGAAUAGAUGCAGUUGUUGUGACGGUUUGGUUCAAGUGUUUAAAAAGUCUUAAGCCUCUCCAUACACUGUUAAUUAACGCAUUCAGACGUUGUUUAUCCCAAGAAGGUGUGCAUACGUCAGGAAAAAUGCAAGGGUAGCUACUUAUGAGUCAUAACUAUCUAAGAGGCUGAGUUAAAACUAAUCAUGAUAGCUCUAACCAAUAUAAUUUAAGAAAUUGUUAAAGUUGUUAAAUUCUUAAAUACAUUUACAUCUAUUAGUAGAGCCUCUGUUAAUAGAAAGCCCUUCGCAGGACUAUCAGUUUCUCGAAGCUUGGAAAGGUGAAUUUUGGUUUUUGCCCCUAUCUGUGGGAGGGGGGAGAAGAGUGAUGCUUUUCGAAAAUGGAGAUGUUACUGCUUAUAUAAUAGCGAGGAUUUGUUUCCUAGCAAGUCGGUGGAGAGAGAUUUUGUCAUCUCCAGUCCUUGUCCCAGUCCCUGUCCUAGAUGAGGGAAAACAAAGCAUAACGAACUGAAAUCUCCCCCAUUACCCAGUUUAACCCUCUUAUUAACUGUUUAGCUUGUACCACUAUAAGGAAAGGAAAUUUUCUUUGUUGUCUAAAACCCUUAAAAUAGUCUUUUGAGUUUGUCUUCACAAAACCAGGACACUAGACGCCUGCCUGAGCAAACAAGACAAACUGCUUUCAGUGAGAAUAAAGAAAACUUUUCUGAUUCCUGUGAUAUCUACGAAUGAAAACUCUCAAAGAUUGGAAACUGUGGAGUGGGAAGCACUGAGUGCCUGCAACUGCAAAAUCUUCUAGUGCCAACGUGGUACAGUUGCCAGAUAUGACUACCAGAAGUGACAGAUUGAGAAACAUACAACUAAAAACCACUACAAAACCCCAAACUAAUUUGAACAGAUUUAAAUAGAGACAUAAUAAAAAUUCUAAGUAUGCAUGUGUGAAGUGAGAAUGACUGAAAUGGCCACUUCUGUAUGAAUGAGAAAGCUGUAUAAAUGAGAGAAGCUGUGUGAAGAUGUAUGUGUGUAGAUAUUUUAUGCUUCAUGUGCCUUAAAAAAAUUAUACUUGCAUCAUAACACUUGUUCUUUAAGGGCUCUUUCUUGAAACUGAGUUGAAUUUCUCCUGGUUACCAAUUACAUGCAGGCCCUUGGGGAAGUGAAAAUCAAUGUUUUACCUGGUUAUCCAAACCCCCUCAAUUUAAUAAAGUUGUUAUUUAUCUCAAAUACGCACAAACCCUUAAGAAAUAAAAAUUCAAAUUUGUGUCAAGCAAGUUUCAAGGAUUACAGAUAAAAGUUCAAAUAAGUAAGUUUGUUGAGAGAUCAAGGUCGGCAGGGAGCUGAGUCACUGUGAUGCAGUGGUGAUUGUUAAAGGGAGUUUACAAAGUUUAAAAUAUACUGUUAUAUGUAAUGUUCUGUACUUCCUCAUAAUAAUAAAGAAGAGGGGCGAUGGAGGAGUCAGGUUACAGGAAAGAUGCUGAUGAGGCAUCCUGGGAAAUGAAGCCCCGAAGUACUCCCACACAUGGGCAGAGAGAUACCCUUGGUAAUUGGCCAAGGGGAGUCACACGUCACUUUGAGGUGCAUAUAAAAGGUGUUGUCUCAUUUGAAUAAAAAGGAUUUGGUGUUGAACCCCCAACCAAGCUAGCUGGGUCUGUGUAAUUUAUUUAUGUAUUAUAUUAAUACGCCACACCAGUUCAUCAGUCUCACUGAAUUAAUUGUUAGUGCAAUGGGGGAAGGAAGUAUAUAAUUUUUUUGCAUAUUUGAGUCUGGCAUCCAUCUUUCCCAAAGGAAAUAAAGUUAUAUCUUCAUAUCCUUCAUAUCCUUCUCCUCCUUCUCCUUCCUCUUCCUUUUUGUCUUCCUCUCCCUCUUCCUCUUCCAUAAGCCUAUUAAACUAUAUUAAAAGUAAGAAUGAAAAUAAAACAAUAUUUUUGGGUAUACAGAAUUGAAACAAGUAAUUUGAGGCAGACAAUAUUUUGGAAAUGAGGAUCUUCUCUGGUGUCUCAGGUUCGUCACAGAAAUCUAUUGUCAUCACUGUAAGACCUUUUGUUCAGUAUAUCAGUGUUUACUUCCAACAAAUAUGUUUUUCUUCUCCCAUGUAGUAAAUGCAUUGUCAAAUGAAGACAGUCAAUUUUAACUGUAAAUUACUCAAUUUGCAAGAAUAUUUUGUGUUCUUUACACUUCAAACUCAUGUUGAUGGCAAAAAUUAUCAUUCUGGAGAGAAUCCAAAUUUUAAAAGGUUAAAUUCUGUUUCCUUGACCUAUUUUUAGUAAAAUAAAACUCAUUUCUCUUUGCAGCUUUGCAUAUAACAACAGUCCCAAGGCACAGGGCCUAAUAAAGAAUUAAAUAUUUUGUAUCUUGGAGCUGCAACAUUAAAAGCAAUAUAACAGUUA